AGGGUGGAGGACAGUCUGCAGUGUUAAACCUGCUGAAGGGUUCUUGGUGCGCAGGUUCACAUCCUGAUGUGUAGGAUGAAGUCUGCAUCUGCGUGCAGGAUGUGCACCUGAGGGCUCCCUGAAAGCUGAAGGAGACCAGAGUCGUGGUCGCCUCAGGAUGGCUAGCGGUGCAUGUGUGUGUCAGUGGGGCUACUACCCUGCCGACACACAGCUCAAAGGACUCCCUUCACAGCUUCAGGGAGAAAACGAGAGACGCAAAUGCCUUCGUGACUUGCCAUAUAGUGAAAGGGGUUUCCAACGCGAGAGUCAUCAGCUGCACGCAUUGCACUUACCUCCCCCGUCCUGCCACUGUGACGCAUAUCUUCCUUGUGUUUCGUCAGCAGUCACGCCUCAGGGUGUGUGGUGACGCAGAGGCUGUGUGGGCACCCUAAAUGUAGACUACCUGACCAGGUUCAUUUGAGUUCAGCUUAAGGGGAAACCCUUACUAUAAAAAAUGUAUUCCCUCGAAUCACAAUUUGGUAAUUAUAGUUAAAUGUUUUUAAAUAAGUUACAAAUACACAGUGAUUGGUUAGACUUUAAAACUGCAUUUUUUUUCUUAAUAUUUUGGUAGGUUUUGCUGUCUUUCUUAUAGGUUAUGUCAUUGCACUCACCAAACUAAUUACUAAGAUUUAGUAAUGCAGCAACAUCACUGAGAGGGACAAACAGGAAAGGAAAUGAGCAGUCAGAUGAUCAUACAGUUUACAUACAUACAAUCUCCUGAGCUGAAUUUGGAAGAGAGAACAAAGAUGUAUUAUUACCCAAACUGUAAUCAUCACAGUUUACCUCCAGAUAAAUAGCUUUGGGCAUUUUGGCUGAAUUAUUAGUUUGUUUACAGUCUGUCUGAUCAUCUAAGUACUCGAGUUUCUUACCCCGUUGGACUUGUAGUAAUGUUGCCAUAUUAUUAUAAACCUGCAAUUACUCUGGUUAAUGCAAUCUUCAAUACUAAUCGGAAAAAUGACCAGACCACACUCUGAUAAACUAAAACUAUCCAAAAAAGUAAAAUUAAUCAUGCCAGAUGAAUAUCCUGUUCGAUUUUUUUCUCUAUGUAUCCUUUCUGUCUCCCACUUUCUCACUGUGAAGCAUUCAUUGUACCAUUC